rnacentral:tRNA from 4 species
GCCCGGGUGGUGAAAUUGGUAGACACAACGGACUUAAAAUCCGUCGCCUUGAAAAGGGCGUACCGGUUCGAUUCCGGUUCUGGGCACCA